AAAAAUUUUUGUUUUCAAAAUGGCCAACAUUCAAAAUGGCCGCCAUUAAUUCAAUACCUGAUGUCCUAAGAUUAUAGUCCUUAUCAUAAGUGAUAAAUAUACCAAGUUUCAUACCAAAAGGUAGAGUCAAUUGUUUUUUACAAAUUUUAUUCUUAUUUUAUCAUAAAUUUUCAGGUAGCCAUUUUAAAAUGGCCGCCCAAAGCCGCCAUUUUGAUUUUUAGAAAUGGGUCCAUAGCUAUAAAUGUUUAUUAUGACCUAAACUAAAACUCUGCAAAGUUUGAUGCUUUUACCACCUUCUGAGCAAUUGUUUCACAAAUCGAUCGGAC
rnacentral:lncRNA from 1 species